rnacentral:rRNA from 1 species
GUAUGGUGCAAGCGUUAUCCGGAUUUACUGGGUGUAAAGGGAGCGCAGGCGGUGCGGCAAGUCUGAUGUGAAAGCCCGGGGCUCAACCCCGGUACUGCAUUGGAAACUGUCGUACUAGAGUGUCGGAGGGGUAAGUGGAAUUCCUAGUGUAGCGGUGAAAUGCGUAGAUAUUAGGAGGAACACCAGUGGCGAAGGCGGCUUACUGGACGAUAACUGACGCUGAGGCUCGAAAGCGUGGGGAGCAAACAGGAUUAGAUACCCUGGUAGUCCACGCCGUAAACGACGAAUACUAGGUGUCGGGGAGCAUUGCUCUUCGGUGCCACAGCAAACGCAAUAAGUAUUCCACCUGGGGAGUACGUUCGCAAGAAUG